UACGUAGGGAGCAAGCGUUGUCCGGAAUCAUUGGGCGUAAAGCGCGCGUAGGCGGCCUCAUAAGUCCGUUGUGAAAGUCAAAGGCUCAACCUUUGAAAGCCGAUGGAUACUGUGAGGCUAGAGUCCGGAAGAGGCGAGUGGAAUUCCUGGUGUAGCGGUGAAAUGCGCAGAUAUCAGGAGGAACACCGAUGGCGAAGGCAGGUCUCUGGGCAUUAACUGACGCUGAGGAGCGAAAGCAUGGGGAGCGAACAGG
rnacentral:rRNA from 1 species